CGGAAUGUAGCGCAGCCCGGUAGCGUACCUCGUUCGGGACGAGGGGGUCGGAGGUUCGAAUUCUCUCAUUCCGA
rnacentral:tRNA from 1 species